AGUGAUAAAUAAGAGUGAUAAAAACCAAAAAGACAUUGAAAUUAUUAACAUAUACAACAACCAAACUUUAAAACGAACCAACUUCACCUGUCCAAGACUUCCCAAGUUAAGCCAUAACCCUUCAAACGAAUACCAAAACUUCAUUAUACAUCCUUGACAAACUAAGCUUUAUUUGUUCCCCCUGUAAUAAUUAAAGAUCGAUUCUACUAGGUUGUUCCUUUGAGAACAGAAGAGCGU